rnacentral:rRNA from 1 species
CUACGGGUCGCACCAGUGGGGAAUAUUGCACAAUGGGCGAAAGCCUGAUGCAGCAACGCCGCGUGAGGGACGACGGCCUUCGGGUUGUAAACCUCUUUUAGCAGGGAAGAAGCGAAAGUGACGGUACCUGCAGAAAAAGCACCGGCUAACUACGUGCCAGCAGCCGCGGUAAUACGUAGGGUGCAAGCGUUGUCCGGAAUUAUUGGGCGUAAAGAGCUCGUAGGCGGUUUGUCGCGUCUGCUAUGAAAAUCCGAGGCUCAACCUCGGACCUGCAGUGGGUACGGGCAAACUAGAGUGCGGUAGGGGAGAUUGGAAUUCCUGGUGUAGCGGUGGAAUGCGCAGAUAUCAGGAGGAACACCAAUGGCGAAGGCAGAUCUCUGGGCCGUAACUGACGCUGAGGAGCGAAAGCGUGGGGAGCGAACAGGAUUAGAUACCCCCGUAGUC